UACGGAGGGGGCAAGCGUUGUUCGGAUUUACUGGGCGUAAAGGGCGCGUAGGCGGUUAGUCAAGUUCGGUGUGAAAGCUUCACCACUCAACGGGAAGAGGUCAUCGAAAACUGGCUGGCUAGAGUAGGGUAGAGGCAAGCGGAAUUCCUGGUGUAGCGGUGGAAUGUGUAGAUAUCAGGAAGAACAUCGGUGGCGAAGGCGGCUUGCUGGGCCCUUACUGACGCUGAAGCUCGAAAGCGUGGGGAGCAAACGGG
rnacentral:rRNA from 1 species